rnacentral:rRNA from 1 species
AUUGAACGCUGGCGGAAUGCUUUACACAUGCAAGUCGAACGGCAGCACGGGGGCAACCCUGGUGGCGAGUGGCGAACGGGUGAGUAAUACAUCGGAACGUGCCCAGUCGUGGGGGAUAACGUAGCGAAAGCUACGCUAAUACCGCAUACGAACUGAGGUUGAAAGCGGGGGAUCGCAAGACCUCGCGCGAUUGGACCGGUCGAUGGCAGAUUAGGUAGUUGGUGGGGUAAAGGCUCACCAAGCCGACGAUCUGUAGUUGGUCUGAGAGGACGACCAGCCACACUGGGACUGAGACACGGCCCAGACUCCUACGGGAGGCAGCAGUGGGGAAUUUUGGACAAUGGGCGCAAGCCUGAUCCAGCCAUUCCGCGUGCAGGAUGAAGGCCCUCGGGUUGUAAACUGCUUUUGUACGGAACGAAACGGUCCUGGUUAAUACCUGGGGCUAAUGACGGUACCGUAAGAAUAAGCACCGGCUAACUACGUGCCAGCCGCCGCCGUAACAC